GUCUGGGAAACUGCCUGAUGGAGGGGGAUAACUACUGGAAACGGUGGCUAAUACCGCAUAACGUCGCAAGACCAAAGAGGGGGACCUUCGGGCCUCUUGCCAUCAGAUGUGCCCAGAUGGGAUUAGCUAGUUGGUGAGGUAACGGCUCACCAAGGCGACGAUCCCUAGCUGGUCUGAGAGGAUGACCAGCCACACUGGAACUGAGACACGGUCCAGACUCCUACGGGAGGCAGCAGUGGGGAAUAUUGCACAAUGGGCGCAAGCCUGAUGCAGCCAUGCCGCGUGUAUGAAGAAGGCCUUCGGGUUGUAAAGUACUUUCAGCGGGGAGG
rnacentral:rRNA from 1 species